rnacentral:rRNA from 1 species
UCUGCUCAAUGAUUUUAAAUAGCCGCAAUUAUAUUGUGCUAAGGUAGCAUAAUCAUUUGUCUUUUAAUUAAAGACUAGAAUAAACGAUUUUACAUUUAAUUUAUUUUUUUUUAUUUAAAUUUUAAACUUUUUUUAAAUAUAAAAAAAUAUUUAUAAAAAAAAAAGACAAAAAGACCCUAUUAAACUUUACUAAAGUUUAACUGGGGAAGUUAAUUAAUUAUUAUUUUAAUUUAUUUAUUUUUUAUAAUCUAAUACUAUUAAUUAAACAAGUUACUAUAGGGAUAACAGCGUAAUAUUUUUUAAAGAUCUUAUUUAAAAAAAAAAUUACGACCUCGAUGUUGAAUUAUUUUUCCUUAAAAAAGCAAAAAUUUUUAAAGAAAGUCUGUUCGACUUUUAAUUAUUUACAUGAUCUGAGUUCAAACCGGAG